AGCACGCCGCGUGAGGGAUGACGGCCUUCGGGUUGAAACCUCUUUUAGCAGGGAAGAAGCGAGAGUGACGGUACCUGCAGAAAAAGCACCGGCUAACUACGUGCCAGCAGCCGCGGUAAUACGUAGGGUGCAAGCGUUAUCCGGAAUUAUUGGGCGUAAAGAGCUCGUAGGCGGUUUGUCGCGUCUGCCGUGAAAUCCUCAGGCUCAACCUGAGGCUUGCGGUGGGUACGGGCAGACUUGAGUGCGGUAGGGGAGAUUGGAAUUCCUGGUGUAGCGGUGGAAUGCGCAGAUAUCAGGAGGAACACCGAUGGCGAAGGCAGAUCUCUGGGCCGUAACUGACGCUGAGGAGCGAAAGGGUGGGGAGCAAACA
rnacentral:rRNA from 1 species